rnacentral:rRNA from 1 species
AUUGAACGCUGGCGGCAGGCCUAACACAUGCAAGUCGAACGGUAACAGGAAGAAGCUUGCUUCUUUGCUAACGAGUGGCGGACGGGUGAGUAAUGUCUGGGAAACUGCCUGAUGGAGGGGGAUAACUACUGGAAACGGUAGCUAAUACCGCAUAACGUCGCAAGACCAAAAAGGGGGACCUUCGGGCCUCUUGCCAUCGGAUGUGCCCAGAUGGGAUUAGCUAGUAGGUGGGGUAACGGCUUACCUAGGCGACGAUCCCUAGCUGGUCUGAGAGGAUGACCAGCCACACUGGAACUGAGACACGGUCCAGACUCCUACGGGAGGCAGCAGUGGGGAAUAUUGCACAAUGGGCGCAAGCCUGAUGCAGCCAUGCCGCGUGUAUGAAGAAGGCCUUCGGGUUGUAAAGUACUUUCAGCGGGGAGGAAGGGAGUAAAGUUAAUACCUUUGCUCAUUGACGUUACCCGCAGAAGAAGCACCGGCUAACUCCGUG